rnacentral:rRNA from 1 species
UGGGCUUGACAUGUACGGAUUAACCCUAUGAAAGUAGGGCCACACCCGCAAGGGCGGAACGUGCACAGGUGCUGCAUGGCUGUCGUCAGCUCGUGCUGUGAAGUGUCGGGUUAAGUCCCUUAACGAGCGCAACCCCUGUCGUUAGUUGCUCACGCGUCAUGGCGAGUACUCUAGCGAGACUGCCGGUGUCAAACCGGAGGAAGGUGGGGAUGACGUCAAGUCCUCAUGGCCCUUACGCCCAGGG